rnacentral:rRNA from 1 species
CAUACGGGGUGCAGCAGUGGGGAAUAUUGGACAAUGGGCGAAAGCCUGAUCCAGCCAUGCCGCGUGUGUGAAGAAGGCCUUCGGGUUGUAAAGCACUUUCAGUGGGGAAGAAAGCCUUGGGGCUAAUACCCUCGAGGAAGGACAUCACCCACAGAAGAAGCACCGGCUAACUCCGUGCCAGCAGCCGCGGUAAUACGGAGGGUGCGAGCGUUAAUCGGAAUUACUGGGCGUAAAGCGCGCGUAGGCGGUCUGAUAAGCCGGUUGUGAAAGCCCCGGGCUCAACCUGGGAACGGCAUCCGGAACUGUCAGGCUAGAGUGCAGGAGAGGAAGGUAGAAUUCCCGGUGUAGCGGUGAAAUGCGUAGAGAUCAGGAGGAAUACCAGUGGCGAAGGCGGCCUUCUGGACUGACACUGACGCUGAGGUGCGAAAGCGUGGGUAGCAAACAGGAUUAGAUACCCCAGUAGUC